rnacentral:rRNA from 1 species
UACGAAGGGGGCUAGCGUUGCUCGGAAUCACUGGGCGUAAAGCGCACGUAGGCGGGUUCUUAAGUCAGGGGUGAAAUCCUGGAGCUCAACUCCAGAACUGCCUUUGAUACUGGGAAUCUCGAGUCCGGGAGAGGUGAGUGGAACUGGCGAGUGUAGAGGUGAAAUUCGUAGAUAUUCGCAAGAACACCAGUGGCGAAGGCGGCUCACUGGUCCGGUACUGACGCUGAGGUGCGAAAGCGUGGGGAGCAAACAGG